rnacentral:rRNA from 1 species
UACGUAGGGCGCAAGCGUUGUCCGGAAUUAUUGGGCGUAAAGAGCUCUGUAGGCGGUUUGUCGCGUCUGCCGUGAAAGUCCGGGGCUCAACUCCGGAUCUGCGGUGGGUACGGGCAGACUAGAGUGCAGUAGGGGAGACUGGAAUUCCUGGUGUAGCGGUGAAAUGCGCAGAUAUCAGGAGGAACACCGAUGGCGAAGGCAGGUCUCUGGGCUGUAACUGACGCUGAGGAGCGAAAGCAUGGGGAGCGAACAGG